rnacentral:rRNA from 1 species
AUUGAACGCUGGCGGCAGGCCUAACACAUGCAAGUCGAACGCUGUAGCAAUACAGAGUGGCAGACGGGUGAGUAACGCGUGGGAACCUACCCUUUGGUUCGGAAUAGCUCAGGGAAACUUGAGGUAAUACCGGAUAGGCCCUUCGGGGGAAAGAUUUAUCGCCAAAGGAUGGGCCCGCGUCGGCUUAGCUAGUUGGGGGGGUAACGGCCUACCAAGGCGACGAUCCGUAGCUGGUCUGAGAGGAUGAUCAGCCACACUGGGACUGAGACACGGCCCAGACUCCUACGGGAGGCAGCAGUGGGGAAUAUUGGACAAUGGGGGCAACCCUGAUCCAGCCAUGCCGCGUGAGUGACGAAGGUCUUCGGAUCGUAAAGCUCUUUUGGCGGGGAAGAUAAUGACGGUACCCGCAGAAUAAGCCCCGGCUAACUUCGUGCCAGCCGCCGCAGUAA